UACACUCCUGCGGGAGGCAGCAGUGGGGAAUCUUGCGCAAUGGGCGAAAGCCUGACGCAGCCAUGCCGCGUGAAUGAUGAAGGUCUUAGGAUUGUAAAAUUCUUUCACCGGGGACGAUAAUGACGGUACCCGGAGAAGAAGCCCCGGCUAACUUCGUGCCAGCAGCCGCGGUAAUACGAAGGGGGCUAGCGUUGCUCGGAAUUACUGGGCGUAAAGGGAGCGUAGGCGGACAUUUAAGUCAGGGGUGAAAUCCCGGGGCUCAACCUCGGAAUUGCCUUUGAUACUGGGUGUCUUGAGUAUGAGAGAGGUGUGUGGAACUCCGAGUGUAGAGGUGAAAUUCGUAGAUAUUCGGAAGAACACCAGUGGCGAAGGCGACACACUGGCUCAUUACUGACGCUGAGGCUCGAAAGCGUGGGGAGCAAACAGGAUUAGAAACCCUAGUAGUCCCAUG
rnacentral:rRNA from 1 species